UACAGAGGGUGCGAGCGUUAAUCGGAAUUACUGGGCGUAAAGCGCGCGUAGGCGGCUUUGCAAGUCGGGUGUGAAAUCCCCAGGCUUAACCUGGGAACUGCAUUCGAGACUGCAUUGCUAGAGUAUGGGAGAGGGAAGUGGAAUUUCCGGUGUAGCGGUGAAAUGCGUAGAUAUACGGAGGAACACCUGCGGCGAAGGCGGGUAGCUGGGCCAACACUGACGCUGAGACGCGAAAGCUAGGGGAGCAAACGGG
rnacentral:rRNA from 1 species